CCUACGGGAGGCUGCAGUGGGGAAUAUUGCACAAUGGGCGCAAGCCUGAUGCAGCCAUGCCGCGUGUGUGAAGAAGGCCUUCGGGUUGUAAAGCACUUUCAGCGGGGAGGAAGGCGGUGAGGUUAAUAACCUCAUCGAUUGACGUUACCCGCAGAAGAAGCACCGGCUAACUCCGUGCCAGCAGCCGCGGUAAUACGGAGGGUGCAAGCGUUAAUCGGAAUUACUGGGCGUAAAGCGCACGCAGGCGGUCUGUCAAGUCGGAUGUGAAAUCCCCGGGCUCAACCUGGGAACUGCAUUCGAAACUGGCAGGCUAGAGUCUUGUAGAGGGGGGUAGAAUUCAAGGUGUAGCGGUGAAAUGCGUAGAGAUCUGGAGGAAUACCGGUGGUGAAGGCGGCCCCCUGGACAAAGACUGACGCUCAGGUGCGAAAGCGUGGGGAGCAAACAGGAUUAGAUACCCGAGUAGUC
rnacentral:rRNA from 1 species